rnacentral:rRNA from 1 species
AUUGAACGCUGGCGGCAGGCUCAACACAUGCAAGUCGAGCGCGCGGCGGUCGGGUGAGUAAUGUCUGGGAAACUGCCUGAUGGAGGGGGAUAACUACUGUUCACGGUAGCUCAUACCGCAUACCAUCAGAUUUGCCCAGAUGGGAUUAGCUAGUAGGUUGGGUAAUGGCUCACCUAGGCGACGAUCCCUAGCUGGUCUGAGAGGAUGACCAGCCACACUGGAACUGAGACACGGUCCAGACUCCUACGGGAGGCAGCAGUGGGGAAGAUUGCACAAUGGGCGCAAGCCUGAUGCAGCCAUGCCGCGUGUGUGAAGAAGGCCGUCGGGGUGUAAAGCACUUUCAGCGAGGAGGCGUUACUCGCAGAAGAAGCACCGGCUAACUCCGUGCCAGCAGCCGCGGUAAUUC